GUGUUCGUGGUGUAUUGGUCAGCACGCUGGGUACCCAAGCCAGAGGUCCAUGGUUCGAGUCCCGGCGAAAGCG
rnacentral:tRNA from 1 species